GUGAGUAGUUCAGAGUUUGAUCCUGGCUCAGGACGAACGCUGGCGGCGUGCUUAACACAUGCAAGUCGAACGGAGUUAAGACUUCGGUUUUAACUUAGUGGCGAACGGGUGAGUAACGCGUGAGGAACCUGCCUCUCAGUGGGGGACAACAGUUGGAAACGACUGCUAAUACCGCAUAAUGUCACGAAUCGGCAUCGGUUUGUGACCAAAGAUUUAUUGCUGAGAGAUGGCCUCGCGUCUGAUUAGCUAGUUGGUGGGGUAACGGCCCACCAAGGCGACGAUCAGUAGCCGGACUGAGAGGUUGACCGGCCACAUUGGGACUGAGAUACGGCCCAG
rnacentral:rRNA from 1 species